rnacentral:rRNA from 1 species
AGAGUUUGAUCCUGGCUCAGGAUGAAUGCUGGCGGCAGGCUUAACACAUGCAAGUCGAGGGGCAGCGGGGAGGAAGCUUGCUUUCUCCGCCGGCGACCGGCGCACGGGUGAGUAACACGUAUGCAACCUGCCCCUGUCAGGGGGACAACCCGCCGAAAGGCGGGCUAAACCCGCGUACAUGCCACCGGGGCAUCCCGGAGGCAGGAAAGGCUUCGGCCGGACAGGGAUGGGCAUGCGGCGCAUUAGGCAGUAGGCGGGGUAACGGCCCACCUAACCGACGAUGCGUAGGGGUUCUGAGAGGAAGGUCCCCCACACUGGUACUGAGACACGGACCAGACUCCUACGGGAGGCAGCAGUGAGGAAUAUUGGUCAAUGGUCGGGAGACUGAACCAGCCAAGCCGCGUGAGGGAGGAAGGUACAGAGUAUCGUAAACCUCUUUUGUCAGGGAACAAAGGCGGGGACGUGUCCCCGGAUGAGUGUACCUGAAGAAUAAGCACCGGCUAACUACGUGCCAGCAGCCGCGGUAAUACGUAGGGUGCGAGCGUUAAUCGGAAUUACUGGGCGUAAAGGGUGUGCAGGCGGCUGAGUAAGACAGAUGUGAAAUCCCCGGGCUUAACCUGGGAACCGCAUAUGUGACUGCUUGGCUAGAGUGCGUCAGAGGGAGGUGGAAUUCCACGUGUAGCAGUGAAAUGCGUAGAUAUGUGGAAGAACACCGAUGGCGAAGGCAGCCUCCUGGGACGCAACUGACGCUCAUACACGAAAGCGUGGGGAGCAAACAGGAUUAGAUACCCUGGUAGUCCACGCCCUAAACGAUGUCAACUAGUUGUUGGGGAUUAAAAUUCUCAGUAACGCAGCCAACGCGUGAAGUUGACCGCCUGGGAAGUACGGUCGCAAGACUAAAACUCAAAGGAAUUGACGGGGACCCGCACAAGCGGUGGAUGAUGUGGAUUAAUUCGAUGCAACGCGAAAAACCUUACCUACCCUUGACAUGUCAGAGAAGCUUUUGUAAUGAGAGUGUGCCCGCAAGGGCGUCUGAACACAGGUGCUGCAUGGCUGUCGUCAGCUCGUGUCGUGAGAUGUUGGGUUAAGUCCCGCAACGAGCGCAACCCUAUUGUUAGUUGCUACGCAAGAGCACUCUAGCGAGACUGCCGUUGACAAAACGGAGGAAGGCGGGGACGACGUCAAAUCAUCAUGCCCCUUAUGUCCUGGGCUACACACGUAAUACAAUGGCGGUUAACAAAGGGAUGCAAAGCCGCGAGGCAGAGCGAACCCCAAAAAGCCGUCCCAGUUCGGAUCGCAGGCUGCAACCCGCCUGCGUGAAGUCGGAAUCGCUAGUAAUCGCGGAUCAGCAUGCCGCGGUGAAUACGUUCCCGGGUCUUGUACUCACCGCCCGUCAA